rnacentral:lncRNA from 1 species
CGAGAUCUACUUUCUGUUUCCACGCUUGAGACGCGUCCACAAGUUUGUCAUGAGUACUCGUGAGCGACAGCAGCAGGCGGAGGCGGCUCCCUCCAUGUGUUUACAGCCACUGAACUGACGCGUCGCGUCUCAGCGCGCAGAGCUGCGCCUCAACCCACUUUCUGCCGCUUUCCUGUGCGCUUCACAGGAAUGGAAAACAUACUUAUAGUUUCCGACGACGGGGCGUACAUCCAUGAACUAUGUCUAAGAAAGUAGAUUGUUGUUGUAUUAAUAUUAUUAUUUAUGAUCAUGGCGGCGUCGCAGCGCGCGAGGAACUCUGAACUUAAACAGAGCGAAACAUGGAAGCGUCACAUUAUUAGACAGCUGAAAUAUCGCAACAGGACCCAGACGAGCGUCUUCCAGGAUAUUAUAGAGUCAUAUUACAGUCUGCUGGAAAAGUCCAAGCAAAGAGCCCUCAUAACCAAAGGCAUUCUGGGAUCAGGGUCAAGGCCCUCGCUAUCUGAAGAUUCGCGGACGUCUCUGAAGACAACCACCGGGGAGCUUGCGUACCAAGUGGUGGAACUGCAGCAGAGAAUCCAGAUAAAGGAAGUGACACUGGAUGAACAGCAUACCAAGCUGUAUGAGGUCCAAAACCAUCUCAGUGUUUUGGCGUCAGAGCACAGCGUGCUUCAGGAACACGUGGCAGAGGUGCAGACUAGGAACCGACUUCUGAAACAAAAAUAUGAUUCUCUGCUGGAGCAGCACCGGAACAUGGAGAGCACGUACCGGCAAGAGAAACUCCGCAGCUCAGAGAUCCUGGAGAACAUGAUCCUUCCGAAACAGCAGGCUGCUGUCCGCAUGAACCAUCACAAUGAGAAGAGAGUGAGGUCAGAGGUGAAAUGUGGAAUUGCUGCACCAUUAGAAUGACCAAAUCAAAUCCCCAAAAAAUGCACUCUUGCAUUGAUUUUGCACAAUGGAUUUAAAGGGAAGUGAAAUGAAAAUUCUGUCAUCAUUUACUCAACCUCAUGCUUUUCCAAAACCGA